rnacentral:rRNA from 1 species
UACGUAGGGUGCUAGCGUUGUCCGGAUUUAUUGGGCGUAAAGAGCUCGUAGGCGGUCUGUCGCGUCGGAUGUGAAAACCCAGGGCUCAACCCUGGGCCUGCAUUCGAUACGGGCAGACUAGAGUACGGCAGGGGAGACUGGAAUUCCUGGUGUAGCGGUGAAAUGCGCAGAUAUCAGGAGGAACACCGGUGGCGAAGGCGGAUCUCUGGGCCAUUACUGACGCUGAGGAGCGAAAGCGUGGGGAGCGAACAGG